rnacentral:rRNA from 1 species
AUUGAACGCUGGCGGAAUGCUUUACACAUGCAAGUCGAACGGCAGCACGGGGCAACCUGGUGGCGAGUGGCGAACGGGUGAGUAAUAUAUCGGAACGUGCCCAAUCGUGGGGGAUAACGUAGCGAAAGUUACGCUAAUACCGCAUACGAUCUACGGAUGAAAGCGGGGGAUCGCAAGACCUCGCGCGAAUGGAGCGGCCGAUAUCAGAUUAGGUAGUUGGUGGGGUAAAGGCUCACCGAGCCAACGAUCUGUAGCUGGUCUGAGAGGACGACCAGCCACACUGGAACUGAGACACGGUCCAGACUCCUACGGGAGGCAGCAGUGGGGAAUUUUGGACAAUGGGCGCAAGCCUGAUCCAGCCAUUCCGCGUGCAGGAUGAAGGCC